GGGAAUGUAGCUUAGUGGUAGAGUGUUUGCAUGGGAUGCAUUAAGCCCUGGGUUCGAUUUCUCAGUAUUACAU
rnacentral:tRNA from 1 species